rnacentral:piRNA from 1 species
GCUUUGUUGUAGGAAAAUGAACAGAAAUGC